rnacentral:misc_RNA from 1 species
GAAAAGAUCAUGCAGUGAGAUCCAUAGGUUAAUCCAUGACAAUAUUUAAAGUAAAAGAAACACGCAAAGAAAAAAUGAGCACAACAUAAAGAUUGGUCCCUUUCUUCUCAGGCUGGGAGAGAAAGGUCAGGGAGUGGAAUGUGGAUUUUUAGAGGCAGACAGAAAUAGGCUUUAUUAUUGUCAACAAUUAAUCUCUACCCUCAAUUGCACCUGACAAUCUUAUUUAUUCUAUCAAUAAACCUUCCAAACAUAUUUGUGUCAAUGGCUUUGCUAGAGAAUUCAGAUAACCAGAUUAUUUUUAUAUGAUGGCACCAACUCUAAGAUGAUAUAUCUGGAACUUUAAAUAACACAUUAAAUUGUUAUUAAAAGGGGAAAAUAAUAACACAUGCCAUUAAAAAAACAUAGUAAG